rnacentral:lncRNA from 1 species
ACUUCAAGAUUAAAUUUCAUACUAAUUAGGACUUGUACAAGAAAAAUCAAAAUUACCAGAUUAUGAAAGUAAUAAGAUAAUUGGAAUUUACGUAUAGUUGAGGUUUUUAAGAAGAAUAUUUUUGAACUUUUUGUAUUGGCUUUAAGCACUUUUGAAUUAAAAUUCGAAUUUUAUUCUUCUUAUAUGGAUAGAAUGUAUUAAGAUUUCUUCAAUAUUUAUAAAA